rnacentral:rRNA from 1 species
UAUUAGUCAAUGGCCUAACGGCUGAACUGGCAACUUGGAGAAGUGGCAAGUCUUCCAGUAUGGGGAGCAAAACAGCUAUGGGUCAAGUCCGAUAUCUUUAGGAGAAGUCUUAUUGUGAGGGCGAGUUAUAUAACACCGUAGGACUGGCCGUCCCAUAUGAAAAGAUUAUAUUAGAAUUGAANGAAGCUUUGUUUAUAUAUUGAUAAUGACAGUAUAUAUAUCGUGUCUUGACUAAUUGCGUGCCAGCAGUCGCGGUAAUACGUAAGAGACUAGUGUUAUUCAUCUUAAUUAGGUUUAAAGGGUACCCAGACGGUCAAUAUAGCUUAUAAAAUGUUAGUACUUGACUAGAGUUUUAUGUAAGAGGGCAGUACUUGAGGAGGAGAGAUGAAAUUUCGUGAUACCAAAGGGACUCUGUAAAGGCGAAGGCAGCCCUCUAUGUAAAAACUGACGUUGAAGGACGAAGGCACAGAGAACAAACAGGAUUAGAUACCCAAGUAGUCUUUGCAGUAAAUGAUGAAUGCCAUAGGUUAGAUUGGUCAAUUAUAGUCUAGGGUUAGUCUAGCAAACUAAUACCUAUACUAUUAUACCUAAUAUCUGGUCUAUAAAUGAAAGUGUAAGCAUUUCACCUCAAGAGUAAUGUGGCAACGCAGGAACUGAAAUCACUAG